rnacentral:rRNA from 1 species
GGUUCUGUAUGGAAGGGCCAUCGCUCAACGGAUAAAAGGUACUCCGGGGAUAACAGGCUGAUACCGCCCAAGAGUUCAUAUCGACGGCGGUGUUUGGCACCUCGAUGUCGGCUCAUCACAUCCUGGGGCUGAAGUCGGUCCCAAGGGUAUGGCUGUUCGCCAUUUAAAGUGGUACGCGAGCUGGGUUUAGAACGUCGUGAGACAGUUCGGUCCCUAUCUGCCGUGGGCGUUGGAAGAUUGAAGGGGGCUGCUCCUAGUACGAGAGGACCGGAGUGGACGAACCUCUGGUGUUCGGGUUGUGUCGCCAGACGCAUUGCCCGGUAGCUAAGUUCGGAAUUGAUAAGCGCUGAAAGCAUCUAAGCGCGAAGCGAGCCCUGAGAUGAGUCUUCCCUGACAGUUUAACUGUCCUAAAGGGUUGUUCGAGACUAGAACGUUGAUAGGCAGGGUGUGUAAGCGUUGUGAGGCGUUGAGCUAACCUGUACUAAUUGCCCGUGAGGCUUAACCAUACAACACCCAAGGGGUUUUGUA